UAAGGAGGGGAGAAUGUAACGUCCCGUAUCUUAAAUUACCAAUUUACAAGUUAGUUGGACGGUAAACGACCGUUAUUUUCACUUUUACUGUCGUUUAAGUACUUUUAGUGGCCCUAAAAGUUGACUUUUUGAUCGGGCCAAAAUUUGAGAAAAUUUCCUUCAUGAAAGUUGUAGAGGACGUUAACUCGAGCGCGUGCAUAUGUGGUGCGUAAAAAUUGGAGUUCGGAUGUGAAAGUUAUAAGCGAAAUAGUAAAGUUACUGUUUAUUGGUAGAAAGUAUAAAUUUGAAUUUUUACUGUUGGGGGCCGGUAACUUUCUUUUCCUCUCUCUCUCCUCCUCCCCGUGCUUUCCUCUCUCUUUCGGCGAUCUGCAGCUCCGGCCUUCUCUCUUUUUCCGGCCACCUGGUGGUGCAAGCUUGGUGUCAGUAGACUCGCCUCCUCCCCCUUGUUGCAUAUGUGGUGGUGUUUUGCAGAGAUUUGGCCGGAGGAGCUCGAUUUGGAGCCAAGAAGAUUACUGUAGCAGUUAUCAUUUCCGGCGAUAUCUUCCGAUUCCGGCCGUCUCCGGCCACCAAACCGGCGUCGAAGGAGCGGUUUUUCCCAAGGAUCAUGUUGCCCCUAGCCUUGAGCCACGAUUUGCAGUGUGGAGGUCGAAUCGAAGGUUUGAAAUUCCGAGUUACUAUUCACAAUUCGGGUUCAAACUUCUCUUUAAUUGUUGAGGAUGUCGUACCGAGCCCUGGCUCGAUGAAGGAACUCGUAUACGUGAUCGUCGGAAUAGUACUUUUGCAGGCGAAAUUAGUUGAGGUCGGGCGUACAUUGGAGUUGAGGCAUAGUCAACAGCCUAGCUUCCGCGGUUGCCUUUGAGUUAGGUUGUCAUUAUUUACCUUUCUAUUAGAAUUGCUCUGAUUACCUAUGGGAUUUAUGUUUUUCAAGUUGAGGUUUGUGUUUUGUGAAUUGGAGAUUGGUGUUGAGUUGGGGAGCAGGGUGGCUCCAGAAGUAUAAGGAUGAUUUGAUUUAGAAGUGUAAAUGUUUUCUAUAGGUUUUGGGUAGCCCAUUUUAGGGGAAGUUCCGCCAAAUUUUUGGUCGAAUUUCUUCUAAGGUGGGCCCCGCAGGGCCACUUCGGAUUUCAGGGUGAAAUCCGGGGUGGGUCCUGUCAGUUUUCGUUCUGGUUUGAAGCCUCUCUGUGACUUGGGCAGUCGUGGGUUUCCGGUUCAAAGGGCGGCGCGAGCUGGCUUUGGAUCCAGGCGGCGACGCAGCAUCAUUGACAGGGUGCGGUUGAUCUUUCUAGGGCAUCGGGGAUCAGUUUCCGCUUUGGAUCGGGUCUGGUGCUUUCGGGGUUCGUUGAUGGCCUCUCAGUGGUGGCAACGUAUUGUUGGCGGGGUUCCUUGAAGCUGGGCGGCGACGACAUGAUUGGCUGAUUGCGACAUGGCGUGGAGGCGAUGGCUGCUUGCGGUGUGUGCGCGUCGAUCUGAGCGUAGGGAGGUGGAGGUGGAAUGAGCUGGGCCAGCUGUUGGGCCUAGGGUGCUGUUUCUUCCUUGGGCUAGUUGGACUGUUCUUUAGUUUUAUUUUAUUUUUUCACCUUGUUCUAGAACCCUAGGUUAGUACUCUCUAAGUUUGUUAGGGAAUUACGAACUUUCGUGCCUCUAGCAAAUCCUCUAGAGUGGUAACGACGGAGGAUUCUCGAGAUAAGGGCUUAGGAAAGUUUUAGGCUUUCCUGGUCUUCUUGCCUAUUACUCGAAAUCUGGUCUUCUACUACUUUCAUCUCAAGUUUUCUCUAGUUGUACACUAAUUGAAGUCUCUAGGCGACUAGGUUUACUAUUCAAUGAGAGGUUAGUAGUGAGGCUUUGAUUUCUUGUAGUUAGGCUCAAUAAGUGAGCACAUGUGUUAACAGUGAAGGUCACCUGUCUUUUGCUUGGCGGCUUGUGCCAUCUAGACUCUUGGUAAUUGACAGCAUUUGAUGUACGUGCCUUCUGGCCAUGGAAUUACUUAUCUAUUUUCUCAAAAAUAAAGAUCGGUCUGAUAUUUUUAUGCCCAUAA